UUUCCGUAAGUUUACCACUACAAAUCUAUUGAACAAUGCUAACAAUCAACAGGUAGGUGAACCUGCGGAAGGAUCAUUAAAAGUUGUACCCUUCGGGGCACUUCCACCCUUGCAAAUUUACUACUGCUUGGCCUUCGGGCCAAAAUUUUACCCGUGACUGUUUUUCUGAAUGAGACCAAAUACAAAAAAACUUUCAACAAUGGAUCUCUUGGUUCGAGCAUCGAUGAAGAACGCAGC
rnacentral:misc_RNA from 1 species